rnacentral:rRNA from 1 species
CGUAGGGUGCAAGCGUUAAUCGGAAUUACUGGGCGUAAAGCGUGCGCAGGCGGUCCGCUAAGACAGAUGUGAAAUCCCCGGGCUUAACCUGGGAACUGCAUUUGUGACUGGCGGGCUAGAGUAUGGCAGAGGGGGGUGGAAGUUCCACGUGUAGCAGUGAAUAGCGUAGAGAUGUGGAGGAAUACCGAUGGCGAAGGCAGCCCCUCGGGCCAAUACUGACGCUCAUGCACGAAAGCGUGGGAGCAAACAGGAUU